rnacentral:misc_RNA from 1 species
GAUGAAGAACGUAGCGAAAUGCGAUACGUAAUGUGAAUUGCAAAUUCAGUGAAUCAUCGAGUCUUUGAACGCACAUUGCGCCCCCUGGUAUUCCGGGGGGCAUGCCUGUCCGAGCGUCAUUGCUGCCCUCAAGCACGGCUUGUGUGUUGGGCCCCGUCCUCCGAUCCCGGGGGACGGGCCCGAAAGGCAGCGGCGGCACCGCGUCCGGUCCUCGAGCGUAUGGGGCUUUGUCACCCGCUCUGUAGGCCCGGCCGGCGCUUGCCGAUCAACCCAAAUUUUUAUCCAGGUUACCUCGGAUCAGGUAGGGAUACCCGCUGAACUUAAGCAUAUCAAUAAGCGGAGGA